AUGGAACACCAUGAUAUUACCCCGCAAAGUGACCUGGAGGGUAUUCUGUUUGAUGAAAGCGCAGAACCAAAGGCUUUACCAUUAUCACUUCUGGAGCACAUCACCAGCGGUUUCUCUCGUGGUGAAGAAAUUGGCAAUGGUGGUUUUGCAACGGUUUAUAAGGGAAUGCUUGACAAUGGCAUGGUUGCUGUGAAGAAGCUUUUUGGAACGGUUGAUCUUGAUGAGAAGAAAUUCAGUGAAGAGAUACGUUGUCUGAUGAAGGCAAAGCACAAAAAUAUUGUGCGGUUCCUAGGAUAUUGCGCUGACACACAAGGAGAAAUGGUAGAUUGCGGGGGAAAGCUUGUCUUGGCAGAUGUACGACAAAGGUUGCUCUGCUUCGAAUAUCUACCUAAAGGGAGUCUUGAUAAGCAUAUCACUGAUGCAUCUUGUGGACUUGAAUGGAGAGAGCGAUAUCAAAUUAUCAAUGGAAUUUGUGACGGUUUGUAUUAUCUUCACCAAAAGCACAUCGUUCACUUGGAUCUUAAAACGGGAAAUAUAUUAUUAGAUAAUAAUAUGAUCCCGAAAAUUUCUGAUUUUGGUCUUUCGAGAUGCUUCGAUGAAAAUCAAACUCGUACUAUUGCUUCGAAGGUGAUUGGAACUAUGUAA
rnacentral:rRNA from 1 species